AGAACGAACGCUGGCGGCGUGUCUAAUACAUGCAAGUCGAACGAGAACAUCCGGCUUCGGUUGGAUAAGUAAAGUGGCGAACGGGUGAGUAACACGUGGAUAAUCUGCCCUUGAGUUUGGGAUAAGCCUGGGAAACUGGGUCUAAUACCGGAUAAUAUCUUUUAGAGGCAUCUUUUGUAGAUCAAAGGCGGGGUAACCUGUCGCUUGAGGAUGAAUCCGCGUUCCAUUAGCUUGUUGGUAAGGUAACGGCCUACCAAGGCUACGAUGGAUAGCCGGCCUGAGAGGGUGAACGGCCACACUGGGACUGAGAUACGGCCCAGACUCCUACGGGAGGCAGCAGUAGGGAAUAUUGCGCAAUGGACGAAAGUCUGACGCAGCGACGCCGCGUGGGUGAUGAAGCUUUUUGGAGUGUAAAACCCUGUCAGCGGGGAAGAACCGUAUAUGGAGUAACUGCCAUAUGCCUGACGGUACCCGCAGAGGAAGCUCCGGCUAACUCCGUGCCAGCAGCCGCGGUAAUACGGGGGGAGCAAGCGUUGUUCGGAUUUACUGGGCGUAAAGGGCGUGUAGGCGGAUUAUCAAGUCAAAUGUGAAAACCAGCGGCUCAACCGCUGGCCUGCAUUUGAAACUGGUAAUCUUGAGUAUGAGAGGGGAAAGCGGAAUUCCUGGUGUAGCGGUGAAAUGCGUAGAUAUCAGGAGGAACACCGGUGGCGAAGGCGGCUUUCUGGCUCAAUACUGACGCUAAGGCGCGAAGGCCGGGGGAGCAAACAGGAUUAGAUACCCUGGUAGUCCCGGCAGUAAACGAUGGGUACUAGGUGUUGGAGGUAUCGACCCCUUCAGUGCCGCAGCUAACGCAUUAAGUACCCCGCCCUGGGGAGUACGAUCGCAAGAUUGAAACUCAAAGGAAUUGACGGGUCCCCGCACAAGCGGGC
rnacentral:rRNA from 1 species